rnacentral:misc_RNA from 1 species
UUGCUGUUAGAUAUACAUUGAGCGGUAGAGCCUGGGGCCUAGUCUAUAACCAAAGGACGGCAAUGACAACCCAAAAAGACUUUGGUAAGGAAGCUCGGGAAGCUGCAUGGGCAGCCGAGCAGCGGACACUUCAUGGCCUCCGAUCUAUGGAAUCAAAUGUAUUCUCUGAAAAGCAUACUUUCACAGACAUCAGCAUCAUGGUUGAAGAAGCCAGAAGACGUGCAGAGAUUGCAAGAUUGAGGGAGCUUCACACCCUGAAAGGCAAAGUGGAGUUCUUUGCAAAGUUGAAGGAUUUGGAUAUUGAUGUGAACCCUCAUCACACUGUAUGAGUGAUGGUUACAUCACAAAAUUGAAGUGCUUUCCGGGGAACUGCUUAACCAGGAGAGGGUAGCCAAGCUGAUGAUUCCCAG